AAACGUAGUACCAUCAACGCAAAUAAUAGAAAGAAGCAGAAGAUUGCUCACACUUCUGGGACUAAAAGUUUUGCUAUGAAAGCUAAAGAGAUGAGAGAGAAAACUGGUCACCAACCAAGUCGAGCUGAAUUAUUUAUUGAGACGCAUAAGAAGAAGACUGGGGGUUACGCUAAUGAUGAGAUCGCAGUUGUUGUGGAUAAACUUACCGCAACAAUGGGGGCUACAUCUUCGGAACCAUCACAAACCACAUCUAUUGCUUUAGAGGAUGAUGCAUAUGCUCAGGUUUUUGGAAAGGAACAUGCUGGACGUGUAUGAGGUAUUGGCACAAGACUUCCUCCAUCCCAAGUGUUUGGAACUAGCUUUCGUGCUCGCUUUAAUGGGAUGUCAUUCACUUCUACAAAUAGUGGAGAGAUGCAAGAGUUGAAAUCCAUGAUGAUGACGAUGAUGAAUCAACUUGGUCAAGUAACUCACCGGAUCAAUGCUAUAGAGACUCCAAAUCGUCAUGGACAGGGUAAAUUCCACUAUGAUGACUGCUAUGAUUAUUGGGUGGUGAAAACAAUUGUAAAAAGAUGGAAAGACUACAAAUGUCACUUGAAGUCCAACUGCUACUAUAAGCAUGAUACUGUGGAAGAAAUGAUUCGUAGUACACCAGAAGAUGUAGAUGAAGGGCAAUGGGCAACUCUAGUAUGCUUUUGGAAUUCAAAGAAGGGAAAGAAGCGUAGUACCGUCAACACAAAUAAUAGAAAGAAGCAGAAGAUUGCUCACACUUCUGGGACUAAAAGUUUUGCUAUGAAAGCUAAAGAGAUGAGAGAAAACUGGUCACCAACCAAGUCGAGCUGAAUUAUUUAUUAAGACGCAUAAGAAGAAGAUUGGGGGUUACGCUAAUGAUGAGACCGCAGUUGUUGUGGAUAAACUUACCGCAACAAUGAGGGCUACAUCUUCGGAACCAUCACAAACCACAUCUAUUGCUUUAGAGGAUGAUGCAUAUGCUCAGGUUUUUGGAAAGGAACAUGCUGGACGUGUAUGAGGUAUUGGCACAAGACUUCCUCCAUCCCAAGUGUUUGGAACUAGCUUUCGUGCUCGCUUUAAUGGGAUGUCACACUUCUACAAAUAGUGGAGAGAUGCAAGAGUUGAAAUCCAUGAUGAUGACGAUGAUGAAUCAACUUGGUCAAGUAACUCACCGGAUCAAUGCUAUAGAGACUCCAAAUCGUCAUGGACAGGGUAAAUUCCACUAUGAUGACUGCUAUGAUUAUUGGGUGGUGAAAACAAUUGUAAAAAGAUGGAAAGACUACAAAUGUCACUUGAAGUCCAACUGCUACUAUAAGCAUGAUACUGUGGAAGAAAUGAUUCGUAGUACACCAGAAGAUGUAGAUGAAGGGCAAUGGGCAACUCUAGUAUGCUUUUGGAAUUCAAAGAAGGGAAAGAAGCGUAGUACCGUCAACACAAAUAAUAGAAAGAAGCAGAAGAUUGCUCACACUUCUGGGACUAAAAGUUUUGCUAUGAAAGCUAAAGAGAUGAGAGAAAACUGGUCACCAACCAAGUCGAGCUGAAUUAUUUAUUAAGACGCAUAAGAAGAAGAUUGGGGGUUACGCUAAUGAUGAGACCGCAGUUGUUGUGGAUAAACUUACCGCAACAAUGGGGGCUACAUCUUCGGAACCAUCACAAACCACAUCUAUUGCUUUAGAGGAUGAUGCAUAUGCUCAGGUUUUUGGAAAGGAACAUGCUGGACGUGUAUGAGGUAUUGGCACAAGACUUCCUCCAUCCCAAGUGUUUGGAACUAGCUUUCGUGCUCGCUUUAAUGGGAUGUCACACUUCUACAAAUAGUGGAGAGAUGCAAGAGUUGAAAUCCAUGAUGAUGACGAUGAUGAAUCAACUUGGUCAAGUAACUCACCGGAUCAAUGCUAUAGAGACUCCAAAUCGUCAUGGACAGGCACCUGAUGCAUGCAGUGGAUAUAGGAGAUUCUCAUCUUCAAGUUAUGAUCCUCAAGAUGGAUCCACUCAAUAGGCCUUUCAUUUGUCACUGCCUGGGAUCAAUGAGAAGUGUUUGUUGAAUGAUUCAGACAUUUUUUGUGUUUCUCAAGACUAUUUUAGCUUUUGCCUAUUGACAGUGUA